AUUGAACGCUGGCGGCAUGCCUUACACAUGCAAGUCGAACGGCAGCACGGGUGCUUGCACCUGGUGGCGAGUGGCGAACGGGUGAGUAAUAUAUCGGAACGUACCUUAUUGUGGGGGGUAACGCAGCGAAAGCUGUGCUAAUACCGCAUAAUCCCUAAGGGGGAAAGCGGGGGACCGUAAGGCCUCGCGCAAUUAGAGCGGCCGAUACCUGAUUAGCUAGUUGGUGAGGUAAAGGCUCACCAAGGCAACGACCAGUAGCUGGUCUGAGAGGACGAUCAGCCACACUGGGACUGAGACACGGCCCAGACUCCUACGGGAGGCAGCAGUGGGGAAUUUUGGACAAUGGGGGCAACCCUGAUCCAGCAAUGCCGCGUGAGUGAAGAAGGCCUUCGGGUUGUAAAGCUCUUUUGUCAGGGAAGAAACAGCAGCUCUAACACAGUUUGCGAAUGACGGUACCUGAAGAAUAAGCACCGGCUAACUACGUGCCAGCAGCCGCCGUAA
rnacentral:rRNA from 1 species